GAUGAACGCUGGCAGAAUGCUUAACACAUGCAAGUCAACUUGAACUUCGGUUUGGGUGGCGGACGGGUGAGUAACGCGUAAAGAACUUGCCUCACAGAUAGGGACGCCUUUUGGAAACGAAUGAUAAUACCUGAUAUUAUGAUUAUAUGGCUUAGAAUAAUUAUGAAAGCUAUAUGCGCUGUGAGAGAGCUUUGCGUUCCAUUAGCUAGUUGGAGAGGUAACGGCUCACCAAGGCGAUGAUGGGUAGCCGGCCUGGGAGGGUGAUCGGCCACAAGGGGACUGAGGCACGGCCCGUACUCCAACGGGAGGCAGCAGUGGGGAAUAGUGGACAAAGGACCAAGAGACUGAUCCAGCAAUUCUGUGUGCACGAUGAAGUUUUUCGGAAUGUAAAGUGCUUUCAGUUGGGAAGAAAAAAAUGACGGUACCAACAGAAGAAGCGACGGCUAAAUACGUG
rnacentral:rRNA from 1 species